rnacentral:rRNA from 1 species
UACGUAGGGUCCGAGCGUUAAUCGGAAUUACUGGGCGUAAAGCGUGCGCAGGCGGUGAUGUAAGACAGGUGUGAAAUCCCCGGGCUUAACCUGGGAACUGCAUUUGUGACUGCAUCGCUGGAGUGGCGCAGAGGGGGAUGGAAUUCCGCGUGUAGCAGUGAAAUGCGUAGAUAUGCGGAGGAACACCGAUGGCGAAGGCAAUCCCCUGGGCCUGUACGUG